CUGCAAUCCGUAAGGUAGACCUAUAAGAUCCCUUCCCACUCAACCCAACCAUUUUACGUCCCUCUGACCUAUAAGGUCCCUUCCAACCCAACCACUCUAUGAUCUAUGAGGUCCCUUCCAACCCAACCCAACCAUUCCAUGGCUCCAUGACCGAUAAGAUCCCUUCCAACCCAACCACUCUACAGCUCUGUGAUCUACAAAGUCUUUUCCAACCCAACCACUCUAUGAUCUGUGAGGCCCCUUCCAACCCAACCCAACCAUUCUAUGCCUCCGUGAUCAAUUAAGAUCCUUUCCAACCCAACCAUUUGGUGGCUCUGUGAUCCAUAAGGACUCUUCCAAUCCCACCCAACCCAACCACACUACAGCUCUGUGACCCACACAGUCCCUUCCAACCCAACCACUCUACAACUCUAUGAUCUAUGAGGUCCCUUCCAACCCAACCCAACCAUUCCAUGGCUCCAUGACCGAUAAGAUCCCUUCCAACCCAACCACUCUACAGCUCUGUGAUCUACAAAGUCUUUUCCAACCCAACCACUCUAUGACUCUAUGAUCUGUGAGGCCCCUUCCAACCCAACCCAACCAUUCUAUGCCUCCGUGAUCAAUUAAGACCCUUUCCAACCCAACCAUUUGGUGGCUCUGGGAUCCAUAAGGACUCUUCCAAUCCCACCCAACCCAACCACACUACAGCUCUGUGACCCACACAGUCCCUUCCAACCCAACCACUCUACAACUCUAUGAUCUAUGAGGUCCCUUCCAACCCAACCACUCUAUGAUCUAUGAGGUUCCUUCCAACCCAACCCAACCAUUCCAUGGCUCCAUGACCGAUAAGAUCCCUUCCAACCCAACCACUCUACAGCUCUGUGAUCUACAAAGUCUUUUCCAACCCAACCACUCUAUGACUCUAUGAUCUGUGAGGCCCCUUCCAACCCAACCCAACCAUUCUAUGCCUCCGUGAUCAAUUAAGACCCUUUCCAACCCAACCAUUUGGUGGCUCUGGGAUCCAUAAGGACCCUUCCAAUCCCACCCAACCCAACCACACUACUGUUCAGCGACCCACACAGUCCCUUCCAACCCAACCACUCUACAGCUCUGUGAUCUAUGAGGUCCCUUCCAACCCAACCCAUGGCUCUUCAAUCCAUAAAGUCGACCUAUAAGACCCCUUCCCACUCAACCCAACCAUUUUACGUCCCUAUGACCUAUGAGGUCCCUUCCAACCCAACCCAACCAUUCCAUGGCUCCAUGACCGAUAAGAUCCCUUCCAACCCAACCACUCUACAACUCUAUGAUCUAUGAGGUCCCUUCCAACCCAACCCAUGGCUCUUCAAUCCAUAAAGUCGACCUAUAAGACCCCUUCCC
rnacentral:lncRNA from 1 species